UCGACGUCUACGGCGGCUGAUGCCGCAUACCCUUCCAUGCUGUGACUGCGGGGCCGGCCUGCCGGCCCCGCUGGUUCGGAUCCUAGACGACAGG
rnacentral:tRNA from 2 species